rnacentral:rRNA from 1 species
UACGGAGGGUGCAAGCGUUGUCCGGAAUCACUGGGCGUAAAGGGCGCGUAGGCGGCUCAUGAAGGCUGUGGUGAAAGUCCGGGGCUCAACCUCGGAUCGGCCGUGGCGACUCGUGGGCUGGAGCACUGUAGAGGCGGGUGGAAUUCCGGGUGUAGCGGUGGGAAUGCGUAGAGAUCCGGAAGAACACCAGUGGCGAAGGCGGCCCGCUGGGCAGUGGCUGACGCUGAGGCGCGAAAGCGUGGGGAGCGAACAGG